GGCCCGGCUCCGCUCCGUUCCGCGGCCGGGAGCGCCUCCGCGGCCGGACUCUUUACGGGAAGUCGGAAGGGUCUGAGCGGGGAAGCGCUUCUGUCCUUUCAGUAUCAGCUUUACUAUUACCUGAACUGGUAAACUCCUUCGGGGGCAGCCUCAGGAAAAAGGUGUAGGUGAGCAGGGCAUGGAGGAUACAACUGACCGCACACGAAGUACACAAAUCAAAGAGAAAACACUGACGAGAGUAAUAUAAAAGAAACAGCUGUGCUUGUUUGAAUUCAAUGGAUGUUGAAGACUUGCACUGGACACGUCCAUCAAUCAUUUUACCAAGGUUCCUGACAUAAUUUGAUCUAAUUGAAAAUAGCAAAACGAGCUACAUGAACAGAGAAAGAAUGUUCAGUGGCAGUUCCACUACAAUCUCCUUUUCCU